AACGAACGCUGGCGGCAUGCUUAGCACAUGCAAGUCGAACGGCUCCUCCGGGAUUAGUGUCACACGGGUGAGUAACGCGUGGGAACGUACCCUUUACUACGGACUAACUCAGGGAAACUUGAGCUAAUACCGUAUGUGCCCUCCCGUGGGAAGAUUUAUCGGGAAAGGAUCGGCCGGCGUUGGCUAAGCUAGUUGGUGGGGUAAUGGCCUACCAGGGCGCCGAUCGAUAGCUGGUCUGUGAGGAUGAUCAGCCACACUGGGACUGAGAAACGGCCCAGAAUCCUACAGAAGGCAGGAAAGGGUAAUACUGGAAUACGGGGGCAAGGCUGAUCCAGCCCGGCUGGGUGAGUGAUGAAGGUCGUAAGAUUGUAAUGUGCUCUAAUCGCUCAAGAUGAUGACGGUAGCCGAAGAAGAAGCCCCGGCUAACUACGUG
rnacentral:rRNA from 1 species